GGCCCCGUGGAAACCCAGGCCCUCGUCCCUCGUGUCUCGCCAGGCUUCGUGAGCUUCGACAACCCGGCCAGCGCGCAGACCGCCAUCCAGGCCAUGAACGGCUUCCAGAUCGGCAUGAAGAGGCUCAAGGUGCAGCUGAAGCGGCCCAAAGACGCCAAUCGCCCGUACUGAGCGCCGGCGGGAGCGUCCCCCGGGGGAGACCAGGACUCGCACAGGGCAGGAUGCUGAACGGGCUACAUUAAAAAACAAACCUCUCUCUCUAUAUAUUUAUAAAUGAGAACUGUUGGAUGACACCUUUGACAUAUCAGCCAAUAUCAAUCAAGCUGAAGACUCCAGACACUGUCUGUGUGACUGUAACAUUUCUUCAAGGAAAGUAUAGCGUCUAUGGAGUUCAGAGGGCACGUGUUUGGGGGAAAAUAUAUAUGACAUGAAGAAGAAGAUGAAGAAAAAUGAGAAAAAAACACACAAAAGGCAACUUUAAAACAAAAUAUCACGAGCAGACGGGGAGGCUGAAGGGCUGGGAGCUGGGAGGAGACGCUGCUUACCGAUCCCGGGGCUUUUCCAGCCCAUGGGCGCCUG
rnacentral:sRNA from 1 species